rnacentral:lncRNA from 1 species
AAGUGAAGAAAGCUAUAAUUAUACUCAAUAUAGAAGACAGCUUUUCAUGCCAUGUCAUCUUUGUAGAAACUUCUAAGAGGUUGUAACUUUGGCACCUACAAUGAUCGAUCACUACAAUGGAUGGGAUAUUGAAAAGGUUGAUGAUCAUUGGGUGAGAGAGGGAAGUGACAAAGAUAAAGUAAACAAAGAAAGAAAAGAGUAUUCUUCUGUGUCUGAGCAGCGGUAGUGAGAGCUAAUUCCAUUCACUUCAACAACUCAGUCGGAGAACACUAUAAUUCAAAGGGUCAGAUUAUGUGAUGAUCAGAUGAAAGAAUCAGUAUGGCAUAUACAUGAUAAGCUAUUGGGCUUCAUGGAGGUUCUUAUGCAAUGGAUAUUGAUCGAGG